UACGUAGGGUGCAAGCGUUGUCCGGAAUUAUUGAGCGUAAAGAGCUCGUAGGCGGUCUGUCGCGUCUGGUGUGAAAAUCCAGGGCUUAACCCUGGACCUGCAUCGGGUACGGGCAGACUAGAGUGCGGUAGGGGAGAUUGGAAUUCCUGGUGUAGCGGUGGAAUGCGCAGAUAUCAGGAGGAACACCGAUGGCGAAGGCAGAUCUCUGGGCCGUAACUGACGCUGAGGAGCGAAAAGCAUGGGGAGCGAACAGG
rnacentral:rRNA from 1 species